rnacentral:tRNA from 1 species
GCCGGGGUGGCGGAAUGGCAGACGCGGAGGUCUCAAAAACCUCUGGGCCUUGCGCCCAUGCGGGUUCGAGUCCCGCCCCCGGCACCA